GAGCUAGAGGUUCCGCGGGCCUGGCUACAAUGAGUGUGGUGAUGAGGGGGGAAGCUUUGCAGGUUCCUUUUGAUACGUAAUGACACAUUGGGUGAAUGUGUCAAAGGGGGGAGUGAUAAAAUAGAAACGGGUGAGUAGGUUUCAAUUUGUAAUUGUGAUAUACAGUUUUUUCCAAAUUCACUUGUUUUUAAGCUUUAACAGGACAUGCCAGAAUUGAACUAGCAGUGAUGGAAGGAGCAGAGGAAGACCAGUGACAUCUGGUUGUGGUGUGGUGACAACAAAUUAUAUGAUCGCUUGCCGAAGAAUGCAUCAGGUAUCUGUGCCCUCGUGUCUUUGAUAAUGCCUGUAGUGGUUGUCCCCAUUGAAAUACAGAAUCUCAAUUGGAACAUGGAGUCCCCACUGGCGGGGCUCCUGAAGCGAGCCAAAAGAGACGUUUUGCCCCCAUGGUUGAGCGACAACGAUCCAACAUAUAUUGACGCCAUAGGAGUGCCCCGGGGUGUGCCAGAUAAGUAUAAACUCGUUAAUCAAGUGUCCUCGGGAUUCGAAAGUAUUUUCCUAUGGAUCACCCCCAAUAAAAAUGUAGACCGUAUUAAUUACGUUCAUUACAAUGUCCAACGACUGGGUAACUAUACAGCUGAAUCAUUUGCAGUAGUUCAUGAACAAUUGGCUGCAACGUCGUUGAUGGCAUUCUAAAAUAGAAUUGCGUUGGACAUGCUAUUGGCUAAGGAACAUGGUGUGUGUGGAAUGUUUGGUGAUGCAUGUUGUACUUUCAUCCCAAACAACACGGCACCAGGGGGCCGACUGACCAGGGCGUUGGAAGGACUAAGGACACUGAA